GCUGGCGGCGUGCCUAAUACAUGCAAGUCGAGCGGAUCAUCUCCUUCGGGAGAUGGUUAGCGGCGGACGGGUGAGUAACACGUAGGCAACCUGCCCCUUUGAUCGGGAUAACAUUCGGAAACGAAUGCUAAGACCGGAUACAUAGAGAUCCCGCAUGGGGACUUUAGGAAACACGGUGCAAGCUGUGGCGAAGGGAUGGGCCUGCGGCGCAUUAGCUAGUUGGUGAGGUAACGGCCCACCAAGGCGACGAUGCGUAGCCGACCUGAGAGGGUGAACGGCCACACUGGGACUGAGACACGGCCCAGACUCCUACGGGAGGCAGCAGUAGGGAAUCUUCCACAAUGGGCGAAAGCCUGAUGGAGCAACGCCGCGUGAGUGAGGAAGGCCUUCGGGUCGUAAAGCUCUGUUGCCAGGGAAGAAUAGGUUGGAGAGUAACUGCUCUAACUGUGACGGUACCUGAGAAGAAAGCCCCGGCUAACUACGUGCCAGCAGCCGCGGUAAUACGUAGGGGGCAAGCGUUGUCCGGAAUUAUUGGGCGUAAAGCGCGCGCAGGCGGUUCUUUAAGUCUGGUGUCUAAGUGCGGGGCUCAACCCCGUGAUGCACUGGAAACUGGGGAACUUGAGUGCAGAAGAGGAGAGCGGAAUUCCACGUGUAGCGGUGAAAUGCGUAGAGAUGUGGAGGAACACCAGUGGCGAAGGCGGCUCUCUGGACUGUAACUGACGCUGAGGCGCGAAAGCGUGGGGAGCAAACAGGAUUAGAUACCCUGGUAGUCCACGCCGUAAACGAUGAGUGCUAGGUGUUGGGGGGAUCGCCCCCUCGGUGCCGAAGUUAACACA
rnacentral:rRNA from 1 species